rnacentral:rRNA from 1 species
AGGACCACCAGUGGCGAAGGCGGUCCGCCGGAACGCGCUCGACGGUGAGGGAUGAAAGCUGGGGGAGCGAACCGGAUUACAUACCCGGGGAGUCCCAGCCGUAAACGAUGCUAGCUAGAUGAUUCAUUCGCAAGUCGCGAAUGAAGUGUCGCAGGGAAGCCGUUAAGCUAGCCGCCUGGGGAGUACGGUCGCAGUGCUGAAACUUGGAGGAAUUGGCGGGGGAGCAC